CGCUGCUACGUAGAAUGGGGUGCUACCUGCUCAGUGGAUUGCGAUUAAAACUUUAGGAACAAAGAACAAAGCAAUUUAAACAGCCGGGGAAAGCCUAAACCCUGUGAAAUAAGCAUAAUCUGAUACCGUUUAAUUGACGGAGUGUUGAAUGGACGAACGAGCGCAGUACUGUCUCUGGUUGAGGUGAAAUUGAAAUUGGCAUGGUAGUGAAGAGGCUACCUAAAGCAGAAGGACGAAAAGACCCUAUGAAGCUUUACUCUAAACAUACAGAAAUCACACGAUACUUUUAAUUCUUAUUUAGUUAUAUUUUUCUUAGAUUAUUAAAUGUUACAAGAAGUAAUAACCUAUACUUGUUGUAGUUAUUGGGUUAUUGAGGAGAAUUUUAAUUAUUUAUCUACCUGUACAUUGGUUUUAUGUAUUAGUGUAAUAUUAUAAUAAACUAGCUAGAUUACGUUUAAGAGUUAUAACCCUCACAAAAAGGUCUUAUUAAGUGAGUGAGUGUAUGUUUGUGAGUUUGGGUGGGGUGCCCACACUUUAUAUAAAAACAAGUGUUAUUAAUAGUUAAGUAAUAAAUAGACUGAGUAGAUUACAUACUUACCCAGAGACAAAAGUCGGAAAAAUGACCCGCUUAUCUAGUAAUUGAUAUACACAUGAAUUAAAAUAAAAGGCCGUAAAAGGAUAAAAGCUACUCUAGGGAUAACAGGCUAAUUAUGACUUGGGGGUUAUCGACCUGGGUUGUUGUUUGGCA
rnacentral:rRNA from 1 species